rnacentral:lncRNA from 1 species
UAAUGAUUAAUGAUAUUCAUAUAUAAUCAUAUGUAUGAUCUAGAUCUAGUAUAACUCUUGUUGUUUUAUAUAUUUUAUUAUACUGGAACAGCUCAUGCCCUUGGUCUCUUGCCUUGGCACCAAGGUGGCUUGCCACCCACAGCCUCUCGAGUAGCUGGGAUUACAGCCAUGUGCCACCAUGGGUUUAAUCCCAUAUAGAGCACAUCUGUACUAAACGCAUUAGAAACGUGCUUGCAAUUGGAUCUUGACUUGUGAGAUGCAUAA